CCGGGGAACCCGGCGCUUCCUCCGGCUCUUCCAGGUGCGAAUCCCGCGUUCUACCUACCCCGUGGGUGCGGAGCGGGGCUCCUUGUUGGCGGCGCCGAUCGCUAGCAGGGUGCAAUAAAACCUGUCUCUUUUGAAGGUGUUUGAACAAAUGUUUUCCUAAAACUUGCCAUAGAAAAUGACUGAAACAAGCUACCAGGACUACGGUUGCCAAUAACAAGCAUGUAGGUAGCUGCAGUGAAUGUCCAACUUUGGGAGCUGUGAAGUUUAAUAACACUUCAUUGUUUUGGUGCAGCACUCAUUUUGGAAUGUAAAAUGAAGACUUGAUCAAGAAACUGAACAGAAGCAAAUGGUGAAAUUAGUAUUUAAUUUGAUAUUAAUAAAUAAGUUAAAGAAAUAGUUAAUUUUAAUUGCUGUGGACAGUAAUUUCUUUAUAAUGCAUGUCUUUAAAACAUCAUUCUCAUAAAAUAAACUUCACACAGAGAAACCCUGUCUCAAAACAAAAUAAAAUAAACUUCUCAUUUUCUCUGA